ACAGCAGUGUAUGUGUUUGUGUGUGUGUGUGUAUGUAUCUAUAUAUAUAUAUAUGUAUAUAUAUAUAUACAUAUAUAUAUAUAGAUACAUAUAUACACACACACACACACACACACACACGGCGGG